GCUGGGUAUGGUGGCUCAUGCCUGUAAUCCCAGCACUUUGGGAGGCUGAAGCGGGUGGAUCACCUGAGGUCAGGAGUUCAAGACCAGCCUGGCCAACAUGGUGAAACCCCGCCUCUA
rnacentral:SRP_RNA from 1 species